AUGGGGAGAGAAGGGUGUGACUGAGAGGGAGAAGAAAUUGCUGGGCGUCCAUGGGCAGGGGAGGAUGAGCGGGAAGCAGCAGAGAAGAUGGUGUAGUGCCCAUUGGAUGGAAAAUUGUGGCUGUUUUGAUGGUUAGAGUGGUUCCCUAGAUCUGUGAAGUGUGUGUGGAAAGUCAGUGUGGGUUUCAGAUGUGCCAGAUCUCCCAGAGGAAAGGUCUCUUCUGAUGCUUCCUUAGAGACCACUUGAUUCUUACUCUCCUACUAGCUUUUUAAGUAUUUGAGCAUCUAUUUCCUAGUUGAAAACCCAGUAGCCUCCUCACCAGCUUCAGCAUCCAGAUAUGAUGUGCUUGCAUUCUUCUGGUCUUCUUGUAGCCUGAACUCAUUCCACCUCCCCACAACGCCAACAUUUCACUUCUUUUAUUUGGAGGAGGACGUUUGGAAGUUGUGUUUCUGGAAAUGUUUUGUAUUUAUUUUCCCAGUAAACUUAAGAAAACUUAAAAGUAAUUAAAUGUUUU
rnacentral:lncRNA from 1 species